rnacentral:misc_RNA from 1 species
ACUAUUAACAUUAAUGUUCUCGAAAAAAGAAAGAACUUGGAAUAGGAAAUAGGAGAGAAAAGAGAGAAGGAUAAAGGGAAAAGAAAAAACAUCACAAUCAUCUCCUACUAAAAAAAAAAGACAUGGUUGUAUCACAGAUUUGGCAAAGGCAGGCAGGGAAAGAUUUUGGAAGGAAAGUUGUUUUUUUUCUGCCCACCAACAACAUAAACAUCCAGAGGGUCAAUUACUUCUUAACCCGUCAAUACGCAGUAGUAUUACGAAUCUCAAACUCAUAGCGGUGGGGGAAAGCAAUGGGCAUAGGAAUGAAUGACCUCAGAAAUAUACCCUCCUUGCGUGACCCAUAUCCGUGCUCAACCGAAAGAGUUCACAUUACACAUGACACAAAAAAAGCCAACUAAAGGAAAUAACUCACCAUUCAAAGCACAUAUUGAACUUAGAAGCACUUCCUGUGGA